GUCCUAAUGCUUCAUAUCAAGCGAUUUACUGCAGGCGACUGGGAGCCAGAGAAGGUGGAUGAUCCCAUGUCCAUCCCUGCAGAAAUAACCCUCCCAGCCGUAUGUGGGAAGACAGCCCAUGUCCAGUAUGGAGCCAGGGCAAGCUCCCUGGGGAGAAACAACAUGGACAACACACCUGCAAACUCCCUGAAAGGCACCCUUGAUAGACCAGAGACACCAGCCAGACAAUAUCUACAAAUUGUCAAGUGUGAUCUCACAUCUGGGAGACAACAUGUAUACAGGCCACUACAUCAGUGAUGUUUUGGACAGCCGUGGCAGUGGGUGGCUCUGCCUGGAUGACGCACAUGUCUUGAGGACAGAUGAGCCCACUGUGCUGAAGGCGAUUGCACAGACUGCCUACAUCCUGUUCUAUGUCUGCAGACAUUGUAUGUACAUGUAAGAUCUCCCUGUCAUUUCUCAUUGAAGUGGAGCAGGUGAAGGAGACCAGGCCCCUCACUACCAGGAGAAGGACCAGGAGUACCCAUCAUUAAACUCAGGGAGAGGCACAGCGCUCAGGGACCACCUGGAGUAGCACCUACCACACACCAAGAAACAUCAGAUGAAUCAAAUUAGGCUGCCCUACACCACCAUCAAGCUGCCCUACACCACCAUCAAGCUGCCCUACACCACCAUCAAGCUGCCCUACACCACCAUCAAGCUGUCCUACACCACCAUCAACUGCCCUACACCACCAUCAACUGCCUUAGACCACCAUCAAGCUGCCCUACACCACCAUCAAGCUGUCCUACACCACCAUCAACUGCCCUACACCACCAUCAAGCUGCCCUACACCACCAUCAACUGCCUUAGACCACCAUCAAGCUGCCCUACACCACCAUCAAGCUGUCCUACACCACCAUCAACUGCCCUACACCACCAUCAAGCUGCCCUACACCACCAUCAAGCUGCCCUACACCACCAUCAAGCUGUCCUUCACCACCAUCAACUGCCCUACACCACCAUCAAGCUGUCCUACACCACCAUCAACUGCCUUAGACCACCAUAAAGCUGCCCUAGACCACCAUCAACUGCCUUAGACCACCAUAAAGCUGCCCUAGACCACCAUCAGGCUGCCCAUCACCACCAGCAAGCUGCCC